rnacentral:rRNA from 1 species
UACGUAGGUGGCAAGCGUUGUCCGGAAUUACUGGGUGUAAAGCGCGCGUAGGCGGUAGGCCAAGUCUGCUGUGAAAUCGCCCGGCUCAACUGGGCGCGGUCGGUGGAAACUGGUCAACUGGAGGACGGUAGAGGCGAGUGGAAUUCCCGGUGUAGUGGUGAAAUGCGUAGAGAUGCGGAGGAACACCGAUGGCGAAGGCAGCCCCCUGGGCUAACACUGACGCUCAGGCACGAAAGCGUGGGGAGCAAACAGG